AAGUCCCUUCGGGGAUGAGUACAGCGGCGGACGGGUGAGUAACACGUAAGAAUCUGCCCUGUAGUGAAGAAUACCCUUGAGAAAUUGAGGUUAAUGCUGCAUAAUCCCUAAGGGGGAAAGACGUCUUUUAUGUCGUCGCUAUAGGAUGAGCUUGCGGACUAUCAGCUUGUUGGUGAGGUAAAGGCUCACCAAGGCUAUGACGGUUAACCGGACUGAGAGGGUGUACGGUCACAUAGGCACUGAGACACGGGCCUAACUCCUACGGGAGGCAGCAGUGGGGAAUAUUGCGCAAUGGGCGAAAGCCUGACGCAGCGACGCCGCGUGGAGGAUGAAGGUCUUAGGA
rnacentral:rRNA from 1 species